UACGUAGGGGGCAAGCGUUGUCCGGAAUUAUUGGGCGUAAAGAGCGUGUAGGCGGUCCGGUAAGUCGGCUGUGAAAGUCCAGGGCUCAACCCUGGGAUGCCGGUCGAUACUGCCGGACUAGAGUUCGGAAGAGGCGAGUGGAAUUCCCGGUGUAGUGGUGAUAUGCGUAGAUAUCGGGAGGAACACCAGUGGCGAAGGCGACUACCUGGCCUGUUCUUGACGCUGAGGCGCGAAAGCUAGGGGAGCAAACGGG
rnacentral:rRNA from 1 species